CGACCCUAAAUUCUUGGGAUAAAGGCUUAGUAGUUGAGUUAGAUACCUUCCUAAAAUAAAUUUGCAUUGAUAUAUGACGAAUAUAACUGUAUCUUCUAAUGUACUUCCCAGAGAAUUGGUAAACAAAAAGAAGACAUGUUCAAACCAAACAAGGCCUUACCAUCAUAUUAUGGCUUUCAACUAUUAAUAGAACCCUUCCAUAUUCAACUCACCACCAAUUAUUUAUAUCUUAACAACCUUCACUAAUUCCUUCAAUGAAGAGUAUUACGGCUUCUUAAUGCUUCACUCUACCUGCUCUUGUCUGUUCUCCAAACUACACCACCCCUAUAUUGGCCAACGCCUCACUACUUUAAUAGUCAUAAAGUCUCAAUCUGAGAAUCAAAUCAUCUAGAUAUUGUAUUUUACUAAUUUCAGACUCCUGGAAGUCCUGAACAACCAAAUUUCUUCAAUAACAUAUAGAACCAAAGAGCAUGAGAUGUAGUGAGAAUGAUAAACAAGUUGCAGUUGAAGUUUUCCUUAUGAGUAGAUUGGGAACCAUCAGAAAAACUGGAACCCUGGUUAGAAGCACCUCCAUUUUGAGAAACCUUCAUUCAAAGCUCAAAUGAUUAAUUCUAAACAUGAAUUCUGACUAAUAUAGUAUAGAGCUAAAAAAGAACAAAAUGUGAGAGAUAUACUUCUUUGGCAAACUGAGCAUUCUUGGAUGAGAUUGUCACUGAAAUGUCUUCAUCGCUUGUAAAAGGACUCUUUGGAAAUGUUUCUUCAGAAGAGACAUGUACAAAAGCAUAUUUCUUAGUUUCCUUCUUUAUCUUGGUUUCAUCCUUAGCAUCUGUGACUUUUGUUGCUUCUACAGGAACAUCUACUGUGACUGCA
rnacentral:misc_RNA from 1 species